GUACCUGACUAAGAAGCACCGGCUAAAUACGUGCCAGCAGCCGCGGUAAUACGUAGGUCCCGAGCGUUGUCCGGAUUUAUUGGGCGUAAAGCGAGCGCAGGCGGUUUGAUAAGUCUGAAGUUAAAGGCUGUGGCUCAACCAUAGUUCGCUUUGGAAACUGUCAAACUUGAGUGCAGAAGGGGAGAGUGGAAUUCCAUGUGUAGCGGUGAAAUGCGUAGAUAUAUGGAGGAACACCGGUGGCGAAAGCGGCUCUCUGGUCUGUAACUGACAUUGAGGCUCGAAAGUGUGGGUAUCAAACAGGAUUAGAUACCCUGGUAGUCCACACGGUAAACGAUGAAUACUCGCUGUUUGCGAUAUACAGCAAGCGGCCAAGCGAAAGCGUUAAGUAUUCCACCUGGGGAGUACGCCGGCAACGGUGAAACUCAAAGGAAUUGACGGGGGCCCGCACAAGCGGAGGAACAUGUGGUUUAAUUCGAUGAUACGCGAGGAACCUUACCCGGGCUUAAAUUGCAGAUGAAUUACGGUGAAAGCCGUAAGCCGCAAGGCAUCUGUGAAGGUGCUGCAUGGUUGUCGUCAGCUCGUGCCGUGAGGUGUCGGCUUAAGUGCCAUAACGAGCGCAACCCUUGUUGUCAGUUACUAACAGGUUCCGCUGAGGACUCUGACAAGACUGCCAUCGUAAGAUGUGAGGAAGGUGGGGAUGACGUCAAAUCAGCACGGCCCUUACGUCCGGGGCUACACACGUGUUACAAUGGGGGGUACAGAGGGCCGCUACCACGCGAGUGGAUGCCAAUCCCCAAAACCUCUCUCAGUUCGGACUGGAGUCUGCAACCCGACUCCACGAAGCUGGAUUCGCUAGUAAUCGCGCAUCAGCCACGGCGCGGUGAAUACGUUCCCGGGCCUUGCACUCACCGCCCGUCAAG
rnacentral:rRNA from 1 species